rnacentral:rRNA from 1 species
UACAGAGGGUGCGAGCGUUAAUCGGAAUUACUGGGCGUAAAGCGCGCGUAGGCGGCUUUGCAAGUCGGGUGUGAAAUCCCCAGGCCUAACCUGGGAACUGCAUUCGAGACUGCAUGGCUAGAGUAUCGGAGAGGGAAGUGGAAUUUCAGGUGUAGCGGUGAAAUGCGUAGAUAUCUGAAGGAACAUCAGUGGCGAAAGCGACUUCCUGGACGAAUACUGACGCUCAUGUGCGAAAGCGUGGGGAGCAAAAAGG